rnacentral:rRNA from 1 species
GAGACUUUUUCCAGAGGAUGGGGUUGGUGCUUAAAAAAACUCUAAACACAGGUGUUGCAUGGUUGUCGUCAGCUCGUGUCGUGAGAUGUGGGUUAAGUCCCGUAACGAGCGCACCCCUUUUUUCUUAGUUGCCAGCACCUCGGGGGCGCACUCUAAGGGGACUGCCGGUGACAAACCCGGAGGAAGGUGGGGGGACGUCAAGUCAUCAUCGCCGUUACGGCCAGGGCUACACACGUGUUACAAUGGUGGGUACAAAGGGUUGCCAAGCCGCGAGGUGGAGCUAAUCCCAUAAAACCGAUCGUAGUCCGGAUGGCAGUGGGCAACUGGAAUGCGUGAAGUCGGAAUCGUUAGUAAUCGUGAAUAAGAAUGUCACGGUGAAUACGUUCCCGGGCCUUGUUCCCUCCUCCCGUCACACCAUGGGAGUGGGUUGCUCCAGAAGUAGCUAGUCGAACCGCAAGGAGGNAC